UGGGGAAUAUUGCACAAUGGGCGAAAGCCUGAUGCAGCAACGCCGCGUGAGCGAAGAAGGUCUUCGGAUCGUAAAGCUCUGUCCUUGGGGAAGAUAAUGACGGUACCCUUGGAGGAGGCCACGGCUAACUACGUGCCAGCAGCCGCGGUAAUACGUAGGUGGCAAGCGUUGUCCGGAUUUACUGGGUGUAAAGGGCGUGUAGCCGGGCCGACAAGUCAGAUGUGAAAUCCACGGGCUUAACCCGUGAACUGCAUUUGAAACUGUUGGUCUUGAGUAUCGGAGAGGUAACCGGAAUUCCUAGUGUAGCGGUGAAAUGCGUAGAUAUUAGGAAGAACACCAGUGGCGAAGGCGGGUUACUGGACGACAACUGACGGUGAGGCGCGAAAGCGUGGGGAGCAAAC
rnacentral:rRNA from 1 species